rnacentral:tRNA from 1 species
GCGCGGGUGGCGAAAUUGGUAGACGCACCAGGUUUAGGUCCUGACGCCUUCACAGGCGUGCCGGUUCGAGUCCGGCCCCGCGCACCA